rnacentral:rRNA from 1 species
GACGAACGCUGGCGGCGCGCUUAACACAUGCAAGUCGAGCGAAGCGGCGGACGGGUGAGUAACACGUGAGUAACCUGCCUUAGACAUUGGGAUAGCCUCGGGAAACCGGGAUUAAUACCAAAUGGUCUAAGAUGGACUCGCGUCCCAGUAGCUAGUUGUUGAGGUAACGGCCCACCAAGGCGACGAUGGGUAGCCGGCCUGAGAUGGUGAACGGCCACAUGGGCACGGGGGAGCGGUCCAAAAUCUACGGGAGGCAGCAGUGGGGAAUAGAGCAAAAUGGAGUGAACUCUGAAGCAGCGACGACGGGUGAACGAAGAAGGCUUUGGAGUCGUAGAGUUCUAGUAUAUGGGAAGCGGUACCAUAAGAAAAAGCCCCGGCUAACUACGUGCCAGCAGCCGCGGUAAUAC